rnacentral:rRNA from 1 species
CUACCGGAGGCAGCAGUGGGGAAGUAUUAGCGCAAUGGGGGAAACCCGUGACGCAGCGAUGCCGCGUGGGUGAAUAAGGCCUUCGGGUUGUAAGCCCUUUCAGUGGGGAAGAUAAUGACGGUACCCACAGAAGAAGCCCCGGCUAACUCCGUGCCAGCAGCCGCGGUAAUACGGAGGGGGCGAGCGUUGUUCGGAAUUAUUGGGCGUAAAGGGCGCGUAGGCGGUCUAUCAAGUCAGGAGUGAAAGCCUCAGGCUCAACCUGGGAACUGCUUUUGAAACUGGUAGACUAGAGUCCGGCAGAGGGUGGUGGAAUUCCCCGUGUAGAGGUGAAAUUCGUAGAUAUGGGGAGGAAGACCGGAGGCGAAGGCGGCCACCUGGACCGGUACUGACGCUGAGGCGCGAAAGCGUGGGUAGCAAACAGGAUUAGAUACCCGGGUAGUC